UUGAGGUUCCAUUGAGGUCUCCAUGAGUUGAGGUCCCAUUGAGGUCUCCAUAAGUUGAGGUCUCCAUGAGUUGAGAUUCCAUUGUUUGAGGUCUCCAGGAGUGGAGGUUCCUGAGGUCUCCAUGAGUUGAGAUUCCAUUGUUUGAGGUCCCAUGAGUUGAGGUCCCAUUGAGAUCUCCAUAAGUUGAGGUCUCCAUGAGUUGAGGUCCCAUUGAGGUCUCCAUAAGUUGAGGUCUCCAUAAGUUGAGGUCUCCAGGAGUUGAGGUCUCCAUGAGUUGAGGUCUCCAUGAGUUGAGAUCUCCAUGAGCUGAGGUUCCAUUGAGGUCUCCAUGAGUUGAAGUUCCAUUGUUUGAGGUCCCAUGAGUUGAGGUCCCAUUGAGGUCUCCAUAAGUUGAGGUCUCCAUGAGUUGAGGUCCCAUAGAAGUUUCCACAAGUUGAGGUUCCACUGAGAUCUCCAUGAGUUGAGGUUCCAUUGGAGUUUCCAUGAGUUUAAGUUCCAUUGAGGUCUCCAUAAGUUGAGGUUCCACUGUUUGAGGUCUCCAGGAGUUGAGGUUCCAUUGUUUGAGGUCCCAUGAGUUGAGGUCCAUGGGUUGGGGAUCUCCAUGGGUUGGGGGUCUCCGUGGGUUGGGGGUCUCCGUGGGUUGAGGUCCCAUGGGUUGGGGGUCUCCAUUGUUGGAGGUCUCCAUGGGUUGAGGUCCCCAUGGGUUAAAGCCUCCAUGGGUUGAGGUCCCCGUGGGUCGAGGUCCUCAGGGGGGUCCUGGUGGCCU